GAUGAACGCUGGCGGCAUGCCUAAUGCAUGCAAGUCGAACGAGAGGAAGGAAAGCUUGCUUUCCUGAAUCUAGUGGCGAACGGGUGAGUAACACGUAGGUAACCCGCCCAUGUGCCCGGGAUAACUUCUGGAAACGGAUGCUAAAACCGGAUAGGUAGCAGACAAGCAUUUGACUGCUAUUAAAGUGGCCUUGGCCAUGAACAUGGAUGGACCUGCGGUGCAUUAGCUAGUUGGUGAGGUAACGGCCCACCAAGACGACGAUGCAUAGCCGGCCUGAGAGGGCGGACGGCCACAUUGGGACUGAGACACGGCCCAAACUCCUACGGGAGGCAGCAGUAGGGAAUUUUCGUCAAUGGGGGGAACCCUGAACGAGCAAUGCCGCGUGAGUGAGGAAGGUCUUCGGAUCGUAAAGCUCUGUUGUAAGAGAAAAACGGCACUCAUAGGGAAUGAUGAGUGAGUGAUGGUAUCUUACCAGAAAGUCACGGCUAACUACGUGCCAGCCGCCGCAGUAAAAC
rnacentral:rRNA from 1 species